AUUGAACGCUGGCGGAAUGCUUUACACAUGCAAGUCGAACGGUAGAGGGGGCAACCCCUUGAGAGUGGCGAACGGGUGAGUAAUAUAUCGGAACGUGCCCAGUCGUGGGGAUAACGUAGCGAAAGUUACGCUAAUACCGCAUACGAUCUACGGAUGAAAGCGGGGGACUCGCAAGAGCCUCGCGCGAUUGGAGCGGCCGAUAUCAGAUUAGGUAGUUGGUGGGGUAAAGGCUCACCAAGCCAACGAUCUGUAGCUGGUCUGAGAGGACGACCAGCCACACUGGAACUGAGACACGGUCCAGACUCCUACGGGAGGCAGCAGUGGGGAAUUUUGGACAAUGGACGCAAGUCUGAUCCAGCCAUUCCGCGUGCAGGAUGAAGGCCCUCGGGUUGUAAACUGCUUUUGUACGGAACGAAACGGUGAGCUCUAAUACAGUUUGCUAAUGACGGUACCGUAAGAAUAAGCACCGGCCUAACUACGUGCCAGCAGCCGCGGUAAUGUG
rnacentral:rRNA from 1 species